rnacentral:rRNA from 1 species
UACGAAGGGGGCUAGCGUUGCUCGGAAUUACUGGGCGUAAAGCGCACGUAGGCGGUUUCUUAAGUCGGUGGUGAAAUCCUGGAGCUCAACUCCAGAACUGCCUUCGAUACUGGGAAACUUGAGUCCGGGAGAGGUGAGUGGAACUGCGAGUGUAGAGGUGAAAUUCGUAGAUAUUCGCAAGAACACCAGUGGCGAAGGCGGCUCACUGGCCCGGUACUGACGCUGAGGUGCGAAAGCGUGGGGAGCGAACAGG